rnacentral:rRNA from 1 species
GACGAACGCUGGCGGUGUGCUUAACACAUGCAAGUCGAACGGAAAGGCCCUGCUUUUGUGGGGUGCUCGAGUUGCGAACGGGUGAGUAACACGUGAGUAACCUGCCCUUGACUUUGGGAUAACUUCAGGAAACUGGGUCUAAUACCGGAUAGGAGCUCCUGCUGCAUGGUGGGGGUUGGAAAGUUUCGGCGGUUGGUGAUGGACUCGCGUCUUAUCAGCUUGUUGGUGGGGUAGUGUAUUACCAAGGCUUUGACGGGUAGCCGGCCUGGGAGGGUAACCGGACAAAUUAGAAUUGGAAUACGACACAGACUACUACGGGAGGCAGCAGAGGAGAAUAGUACACAAUGGGAGGAAGCAUAAUGCAGCAACGCAACGUGCGGGAUGACGGCCUUCGGGUUGUAAACCAAUUUCGCCUGUGACGAGACGUGAAUGACGGUAAUGGGUGAAGAAGCACCGGCUAACUACGUG